UUCUGCAGCUCUCAGACUCCUUCAUGUGGAGGCUGGGAGGGGGGUUGGGAGAGGCUUACUGAAAUGCCAGUAACAUGGUGAGAAAACGUCCGUUCUCCACCAGGCAUUUCCUUUGUUGACACGACAGGUUUUCUCUGUGUCCAUGUGAGGAGAGCAACGGCUCACCCUGAAAUGGAAUGCCCGACGUCUCAGAACUCCUUCAUGCUACUGGGUCACUGCCACUUCUGUCUUCCUCCAAAAUACCACGUACCUAGAGCACGGCACCACUAAGCACGGAUUCUGGUGUGGAUGUGUAAAGAGGUGAUGCCUGGAACGAUGACAGCCUUUUGCGGACCAUUAGAGGAGCUCUCCAAAGGAUAAGCCAGCAUACUAAGGAUGCACUAUUCACAAUAGUCAAGAUGUGGGAACUACCGAAAAGUUCACCAACAGAUGAAUGAAUGGAGAAAAUGUGACGUAUACAUACAAUGGGAUAUUACUCAGCCUUCAAGGACAUUCUGCAAGAUGUGACAACCCCGGGUGAAACUUGAGGACAUCAUACUAAGUGAAAGAAGCCAGAAAAAACAGAAAGGUAAAUAAUGUGUGAGGUAUCUAAAAUAGUCAAACUCAUAAAAUCAAAGAGUAGAAUGGUGGUUACCAGGGCCUGGGGGAAAGGGGAAAUUGGGAGUUAUUAAUCAAUGGGCAGAAAGUUUCAGCCGAGCAAGAUGAGUAAUUUCAAGAGAUCUGCUGUAUGACCUUGUACUUACGGUCAACAAUAACGAGUUAACACACUUAAAAAUUUUUUGAGAGGGUAGGUCUCGUGUUAGGUGUUCUUACCACAUUAAUUAAAAAAUAUAUAA